GGAUCGGAUCAUCUUCUGUGUCUUCUUAGAAGUUGACUUCAAAAUCUACAAAAAGAAAAUGAGCGAGUUUUUCCCUGUAGAUGAUAAUAAUGAAGAAGAAGAUGUUGACAUGAAAGAAGAUUCAGAUGGUGUCAACACUGCCACUGUGCCCAGCCCUGCUUCAGAACAGGCGGCUGAAGUCUGUAAAGAUGAAG